GUGGAGCACCCAGAUAAAGUGGCGCUGAACGCACUGCAGCCUCCUAAGUUCGGAAAAGAAAGCUCAUUAGCAUCUACACUGAAGACGCUCCUGUUCUUCACAGCUUUAAUGAUCACUGUUCCUAUCGGGUUAUUUAUAUUUCACAACUAAAUCUUAUAUAUCUGGAGGCGCCCUUGGGAUAUCCAAUAAGGACAGCUGUUUUUAUGCUGCUAUUGUUGCCGUGGUCACCGGCCAUGUGGUGCUGGCCCUCUUUAUGUAUGUGGUCUGGAAUGAAGGCUCAUGACAGUGACAUGAAGGCAAACAGGAUUAA
rnacentral:lncRNA from 1 species